rnacentral:tRNA from 1 species
AAAGGGAGACCUAAUUCAGGUAAAGGACGAAAAAAAGUAGUCGCUACCAAGAAUCAAUCCCAAAAGGUCGGAGCGAGGCGAAAUUGGCUUUCAAACUAGGUUCUGGGUUCAAACAAGACCUGAAUCAGGAACAAGGGCUAUUAGCUCAGGUGGUUAGAGCGCACCCCUGAUAAGGGUGAGGUCCCUGGUUCGAGUCCAGGAUGGCCCACCUGCACAGGUGGCAAAAACAAGAGAAGCGAGGAAUCAGCACCUUAUCUUACUUAUAUAGUAAGAGAGAAUGCUGGCUCUGAGUAAAGAGUCCAGAGGAACCUUGAAAACUGCAUAGAGCUAGGUGAAAAAGCCAAAAAAGAAGACCGCAAG